rnacentral:lncRNA from 1 species
ACUACUAUAUAUAUUUAUUGGUAAUUGGGCGACAGAGUGAGACUUCAUCACACAAAAAAAUCUAAAUCUUUAGUAGUGUAAUUUAAAAACAAGAAUUUUAUUUCCACACCAGCUUGAAGUCUGUGGUUUUAAAACAAUUUCUUUUUAAGGUGUGCUUUACCUCAAAACUGGGAGAGUCUGUCUUUUAUCUCAAACAAAACUACAUGGAGAAAAGGUACUAAAGAAAGACAAAUGCAUUAGAUAAAUAUUUUACCGUAUAGUUGUCAGUAAACCAACUUAGAAUUAUCCUGCAGGGAUUACAUAAAUAAAUAAAUACAUAAAUAAACAAACAAAAUAAACACCUUUAUGAACACUCCGACUGAGUGGAAUAUGUCUAUAUUCUUAUAACUGCUUCAGUUCUAAAAGCCGGAGACACAGGAAUCAUUAAGAGGGGUUGAGUCAAGAUGGCGGCCUGGAAGUAGCUCCUGCGCGCUGCUCUCACAGGGAGGAGACAAAGGGCUGGUGAACACUGACCCUACAAGCUGAUAUCUAAGAAACCGUGUCGGACUCGAUCAAGGCAGCAAGCCGACACAGAGAACAGAGAGGAGUGCAGCUGGGCAGCAGCCUGUCUGGGAUAAACGCGGAGCCAGGAGAAGCUCCCCAACACAGGAAAGGGAUUUGAACAACUUGCAAAUACACCAUGCUGGACACACUAAGAUAAGCAAAAUCAAAAUCCCAUCUAGGAUAUCAUAUCACAUUGAGAUGUCAAGUUUCCUUUGGCUGUUCUUGGCUGUGGCAGUUUCUCAGACUUCUGUAGUUUUUGAGUCUCAGUUUGUUGCCCAGACUGGAGUACAGUGGCGUGAACACAGCUCACUGCAGCCUUGAACUUCUGGGCUCAAGUGAUCCUCCCACGUCAGCCUCCCCAAGUAGCUGGGACUACAGGUAUGGAUCAUCACGCUCAUCUAAUUUUUGUAUUUUUUGUAGAGACUAGAUUUUGCUAUGUUGCCUAGGUUGGUCUCAAACUCUUGGGCUCAAGUGAUCAGCCCACCUACGCCUCCCAAAGUGCUGGAAUUACAGCCUGAGCCACCGUGUCGGCCAUUAAUUGUUUUACCACUGUGAUAAUCAGCCUUAUGUGUAAAGCUGAUUAAGCUAUAGUUCCUAAUUAUUCAAUCUAACAUCUAAGUUUUGUUCAAAGACGUUUCUGUAGAUAUUAUUAAGUGAGGAAGAUGAUUCUAGAUAAUCACGGUGGGCCUGAAUCAGUCAGUUGAAAAGCCUUAAGAGAAGGCGGGAGUUUUCCCUGAGGAGGAAGCCAUUCUGCCCAUGGACUGCAACCUCAGCUCAUGUCUAGAAUACGUGAAGUGUUUCAGCUUGCCCUCCCUGACAGCCUUCCCUAUGCCAAUGCCUUGCGAUAAAUCUCUGUCCUCUCUCUCUCUCCUUCGCUCCCACCUUCUCUCUCCCACUUACUUACCCUACUGGUUCUGUUCUCUGGUGGAACACUGACUGAUGCUACCACCGUUUCCUGAAAAAGAUUAUUUCUUUUCUCCGUAAAUUGCCUUUACAUUUUUGUCGAAGAUCAAUUGUAUGAAUAUGUGUAAGUCCAUUACUAGGCUUUCCUAUUUUUUGAGACUGAGUCUUACUCUGUCACCCAGGCUAGAGUGCAGUGGCGCGACCUCGGCUCCCUGCAAGCUCCGCCUCCCAGGUUCACGCCAUUCUCCUGCCUCAGCCUCCCGAGUAGCUGGGACUACAGGCGCCCACCACCACGCCCGGCUAAUUUUUUGUAUUUUUAGUAGAGACGGGGUUUCACCGUGUUAGCCAGGAUAGUCUCGAUCUCCUGACCUGGUGAUCUGCCCGGCUCGGCCUCCCAAAGUGCUGGGAUUACAGGUGUCGCCACUGAGCCCGGCCGUCCAUUACUAGACUCUUAUCUGUUCUAUUAAUUUGUUGGACUAUCCACCACUACCUACCAUGCUGUCUUGACUACUGCAUUUUUAUCAUAUAUAUUGGAAUCAGAUAGCAUAAAUUUUCAUGGGAGAGAAGCUGAGAUAAUUGGUUUGAAUCUUUUUGUUCUUUUCUAAUAUUGAUUUUCAUUGUUAAAAAUACACCUGAAAAUACUGACUUAACUGAAUCUCACAAAUAUAUACAUUUCAGAAAUAUAUAUUACAUAUUUAAAAAUUAGAUAAGUUUGGUUGAUAAUAAUGCUCAUUUCUACCACAUUGCUACUAGUUUUCUAUAUGUAUAAUGUUUAUUAUUCUCCCUUUUCUCGUUUCCUAGGAAAUAAAAACAUAAAUUUAGAACUCUUUAUCCAACACAAGUUUUUAAAAAAAUGAAUGUGUUGUAAAACCGAUGUAAUGACUUAAGAUUUAAGUCUUUAUAAAGACUAUCAAACAUAUAUAGAUUGGAAAGAGUCAUCACUUGCAGAGCAACACUAUAAGAAAUGGUAAUAAAAAAGCUUUAGGCAGGAAAAUAAUACCAGAUAAAAUGCUUUAAAAAUGGCAAACACAUAAGCAUAUAAAAUAUCUUUUUAUUUUUGUUUAUUCAAAAGAUAACUGGAUGCUAAAAAAUAAUGACAAUGUAUUCUUGACACACCAAAAUAAAAAUUGUGUCAUAAGAAAAGAAAUCAGCUUUGACCAUCUACCAUACCCAGAGAACAAAAUAAAACAUGACUGUGUGAGUUAAAUAAGACCUUUUCUGCUUCACACCUAUCCCCACUUCCAAAACUCCCUGGAGCGUGUUGUUGUUUUUGUUUGUUUAUUUGUUUUAAGAAUGUCCAAAAUACACAAAAUCUAUCAGAAAUUUAAUCAAGUGACAAGGAAGAAAUAAAAUGAGUACAAGUCCUUAGUGGGAAAUUUUAAAAGUUGUUUGUGAAUGUAUCCUAUCAAGAAGAAUCAAUUCAACACAAUGAUUUUGUGGAUUUUGGAAUGUUUAAUAAAACUAUAUACCAAAGCAUUAAAAAUGAUGUAUUAAUGGAGCAAAAUGAAGGUUAUUUUUUCUAUUUUACUUUAUAUAUUUGUGUACUCUUUGGGGUAUUUUUAAAAACAUUUAUUACCAUUAGAAUCAAAAUUAAAGAUAUUUCAAUUAUUU